UGGAGGAGGGCGGGUGGAGAUUUUUUUCUUUUGCACCCUGCAAUCAGGCAGAAUUUAUGCCUGGGAUGUAAAGUCAAAUUGUUAAACAUCUGAAAGUAAAUGUAAUACGUUAAUGUAAUAAAAUACAAAAGGUACAUAAUGUUCCAAUAAUUACAGAGGAAGUAUUUAGCAAAAAUCCAAUGUCCUUUCAUUACAAAACCACUCAACAAACUAGGUGCAAAAGGGAACUUCCUCGACCUGAUAAGAGUAUCUGUGAAAAACACACAUUAAUGUCAUAACUCAUAUGAAAAUAUCAUCAUGAGAUCCAGGGGCAGUGCACAUGGAGGCUGAGACAGGAGGAUCACAAGUUCAAAGUCAGCCUUGUCAAAAGGGAGGCGCCAAACAACUCAGUGAGACCCUGUCACUAAAUAAAAUACAAAAAAUAGGGCUGUGGAUGUGGCCCAGUGUCAAGUGCCCCUGAGUUCAAUCCCCACUGCUUCCCAUAACCCCCCAAAAAUAUGGUGCAAUAUCACCCUGUGAUAUCAUGUUGAAAGCUGAAUGCUUUUUGUCAAAUGUCAGGAUGACUGCUUUUACUACUGUUACUACUUCUAUUCAGCAUUGUGCUGGAAGUUCUGGCCAAGGCAAUUAGGCAAGGGAAAAAAGAAGUUAAGAUUGGAAAGGAAGAAGUAAAGCUAUCUCUAUUC
rnacentral:lncRNA from 1 species